UACGUAGGGGGCGAGCGUUGUCCGGAUUUAUUGGGCGUAAAGAGCUCGUAGGCGGCUUGGCAAGUCGGGUGUGAAACCUCCAGGCUCAACCUGGAGACGCCACUCGAUACUGCUAUGGCUAGAGUCCGGUAGGGGACCACGGAAUUCCUGGUGUAGCGGUGAAAUGCGCAGAUAUCAGGAGGAACACCGGUGGCGAAGGCGGUGGUCUGGGCCGGCACUGACGCUGAGGCGCGAAGGCGUGGGGAGCGAACGGG
rnacentral:rRNA from 1 species